rnacentral:rRNA from 1 species
GCCUAACACAUGCAAGUCGAACGCCCCGCAAGGGGAGUGGCAGACGGGUGAGUAACGCGUGGGAACGUACCCUUCGGUUCGGAACAACUCCGGGAAACUGGAGCUAAUACCGGAUACGCCCUCAGGGGGAAAGAUUUAUCGCCGAAGGAGAAGCCUGCGUCGGAUUAGCUAGUUGGUGGGGUAAUGGCCUACCAAGGCGACGAUCAGUAGCUGGUCUGAGAGGAUGAUCAGCCACACUGGGACUGAGACACGGCCCAGACUCCUACGGGAGGCAGCAGUAGGGAAUAUUGGACAAUGGGCGAAAGCCUGAUCCAGCCAUGCCGCGUGUGUGAAGAAGGCCUUAGGGUUGUAAAGCACUUUCAGUAGGGAGAAACAGGACGUUACCUACAGAAGAAGCACCGGCAAACUCCGUGUCAGCAGCCGCGGUAAUACGGAGGGUGCGAGCGUUAAUCGGAAUUACUGGGCGUAAAGCGCGCGUAGGCGGCCUGAUAAGUUGGAUGUGAAAGCCCUGGGCUCAACCUAGGAACUGCAUUCAAAACUGUCAGGCUAGAGUAUGGUAGAGGGGAGUGGAAUUUCCGGUGUAGCGGUGAAAUGCGUAAUAUUCGGAGGAACACCAGAGGCGAAGGCGGCUUACUGGACUGACACUGACGCUGAGGUACGAAAGCGUGGGGAGCAAACAGGAUUAGAUAACCCUGGUAGUCCACGCCGUAAACGGAUGAAUGCCAGCCGUUGGGGGAGUAUACUUGUUGGUGACGCAGCUAACGCAUUAAGCAUUCCGCCUGGGGAGUACGGUCGCAAGAUUAAAACUCAAAGAAAUUGACGGGGGCCCGCACAAGCGGUGGAGCAUGUGGUUCAAUUCGAAGCAACGCGCAGAACCUUACCAGCUCUUGACAUCCCGAUCGCGGUUACCGGACGGUUUCCUUCAGCUAGGCUGGAUCGGUGACAGGUGCUGCAUGGCUGUCGUCAGCUCGUGUCGUGAGAUGUUGGGUUAAGUCCCGCAACGAGCGCAACCCUCGCCUUUAGUUGCCAGCAUUUAGUUGGGCACUCUAGAGGGACUGCCGGUGGAUAAGCCGGAGGAAGGUGGGGAUGACGUCAAGUCCUCAUGGCCCUUACGGGCUGGGCUACACACGUGCUACAAUGGCGGUGAAAAAGGGGUAAUCCCUAAAGACAGAGGGUUAAUCCCUAAAAGCCGUCUCAGUUCGGAUUGUCCUCUGCAACUCGAGGGCAUGAAGUUGGAAUCGCUAGUAAUCGCAGAUCAGCAUGCUGCGGUGAAUACGUUCCCGGGCCUUGUACACACCGCCCGUCACACCAUGGGAGUUGGUCUUAUCUGAAGGCGUUGAGCUAACCCGCAAGGGAGGCAGGCGACCACGGUAGGGUCAGCGACUGGGGUGAAGUCGUAACAAGGUAGCCGUAGGGGAACCUGCGGCUGGAUCACCUCCUU